rnacentral:rRNA from 1 species
GAGUUUGAUCAGUGGCUCGAGGACGAACGCUGGCGGCGUGCCUAACACAUGCAAGUCGAACGGAGAUAUGAUUUCGGUUGUAUCUUAGUGGCGAACGGGUGAGUAACGCGUGAACAACCUGACUCUAAGAGGGGGGAUAACACUCGGAAACGGGUGCUAAUACCGCAUAAGACCACGACCUGGCAUCAGGAUGAGGUCAAAAGGAGCAAUCCGCUGAGAGAGGGGUUCGCGUCCCAUUAGAUAGAUGCGGGGUAACGGCCCACCAUGUCAACGAUGGGUAGCCGAGCUGAGAGGCUGAUCGGCCACACUGGAACUGGGACACGGUCCAGACUCCUACGGGAGGCAGCAGUGGGGAAUAUUGGGCAAUGGGCGCAAGCCUGACCCAGCAACGCCGCGUGAGGGAAGAAGGCUUUCGGGUUGUAAACCUCUGUCCUUGGUGACGAAACAAAUGACGGUAGCCAAGGAGGAAGCCCCGGCUAACUACGUG